UCUUCCUAAAGAAAAAAAGGGGUUGAAACCGUGGCUGUCAGCUAAUGUAUCAUAAUUUGAAAUAGACUAGGUUAUGUGCUACUAAAACCCUCUUAACAAUAACAUAGAAAGUAUGUAACCAGGAUCUAAGGUAAAAAGCAUGUAUGUGAGUUGGGGAGUGGGCACAAUGAGAGUUUAAAAAAUUUUGUCUUUAAAAUAUCAGUAGUUAAAUAGCAACACACUGUGAAGUCCAUCCUGUUUCUCUAUUAGCUCUGUCAUUUACUGACUGGCCCUGGGAAAGGCCACACUAGGACACAGCCCUUGGUUUCUCCACUGGUCCUUUCAGUGUCUCCUUUUUGAUCCACUGAGAAACCAGCACAGCCACCAACAAAGCCUGGUGAGGCAGGGGGACGUUCUCCACAGUCAGUACUGGAGUAAAGCAGUGUUUCCCAGGCUAUGUUCUGAGAUGUUCCGAAGAACAAAAGUUCCAUUAACAGGACUAAGUAUUAUACAGAAAACAAUCCCAUUGUCAAAUUAAUUUAGGGAACACUAGGCAAAACAUAAUCAAACAGGUUUUACUGCAAAACUACUUACAGCCUCUGUAUGCCAAUGUACACUAUGACUCUUAAGAAAUAUUAAUAGUUGGGAAACUUAUACUUAGAUGGUCCCUUUUGAUUUUCACAGAGUAUCUUUUGGGGCCAACAGCAAGUAGGAAAUGUGAAGUAAAGGCGAGACUUUGGGGCUAUUAUAGAGUGAAUUCUUUCACUUGGGGUCAAUGAAACACCCCAAUAAAAAAGUGGGACAAGCAUACGAACAGAGAAUUCCAAAAAAAAAAAUGCGAACAGCCAAAAUACAUGAAAAAUGUUUAAACCUCACUGGUGAGAAAUACUUAAGGAAAGAUUUAGUUAUAAGGAUUUUCAUUCAAACUGUGUUAUAAUAGUGAAAAAUUGGGAACAACCCUCAUGCCCACUAAAGAGACCUAGCUAAAUUAAGACUUUAUCUAUAAAGUGAAAUUUCACACGGCGACCAAAUAUAAUGAUAUGAUUUGUAGCAGUAUACUGGACAAGGGAAAAUGACAUGAUGUAUGUCAAAAGGUAGGUUACAGAACUCUAAGUAAAACCCAAACCAAACCUACUGCUGAGAACUCUAAGUACAAGUGAUAAAUACCUCCUAAAAAUAAAAAAGCUUAUGUCGCCACAUGUAUGGCUUUUCCUCCUUUCUGAAACACGAGUCCCUAGUAUAGAGGUGAAGGUAGGAGAGCUUCAUCAAGGAAAAGAGCAAAGUAAGGGCAGAGGUCUGAGUCAAAGAUCAGUGUAAUUUUAAAAAGCACAUUUGGCUCUCAAAAAUGUGACGUUUAAUGCUGUUACAACAGAGUUCCUUCCUUCCUUGUUUUCAGCAGCGAGAGUAGAACUUUAAAAAUCUAACUGGUCUAUAAAACCACAGGCACUAGGCAAAGGAACUCAAUCCGCAAGAUUUGCUAGGACCCAUGGGUGUUCGUGGAGAGCAGACGCUCUCUCUAAAGACUGCAAGCUCCCUGAAGGACCCAUCUUCCAUCAUUUCUGUGCUCGCCACACAAAGCACUGGGCACCAGAAGGCACCUGAGAGUUAUUUGGACUGUGACCUUUCACUCCUUUACGGAGACAGAUCCUGACCGUGAACACUUCCCAUGUUCUGGGCACUCGAAGGAGACAGUCACUACCUCAAAGGACAGCACACACACACAAUGAGACACAUAAUGGAAUGACCACCAACCUCAUCUUCAGAGCCUGAAGGAGAAGCGCCAACUGCUGCUGCUGCUGAGAAGACAGGGCUGCUUUCUGUUGUUGAGCCAAAACCUGUGCAUAUUGUUGUCUUCAAAAAGCAAGACCAAGUGUCACCUAUCUAUCCACAUUAAGUCACUUUACUAAGACUCUGAAAGGCAAGGUUCAAUUCACCACCCUCCCCAAAAGCACACCGUUAGAAAUAACUACCAAGCAUAUUUUACAAUUCUUCUCGGUAAUAGUCAAAUAGAAUGUUCCAUAAUUCAUUCCAGAAAGAAAUGAACUUAUAGAUGACAUGCUUUUGCUCAAAAAAAGGACAGCAAAAAGCACAAAAUGUCCAAAACUGGCAAACCCUUCAAGAACACAGUAGCCCUUCAUCAGAAAACAAGUGAAAUUAAAGCAGAUUCAAAUAGCUACUUCCAUAUGAAGCACCUCUUGAGCAAAAAAAAAAAAAAAUCCCAAA